rnacentral:rRNA from 1 species
AGAUAGCGUAACAGCUCACUGGUCUAAACAAGCCGUCCUGCGCCGAAGAUGUAUCGGGGCUCAAACUAUGUACCGAAGCUGAGGAUUCACACUUAUGUGUGAGUGGUAGCGGAGCGUUCCGUAGGCCUGCGAAGGUGUACCGCGAGGUAUGCUGGAGGUAUCGGAAGUGAGAAUGCUGACAUGAGUAGCGAUAAAGAGUGUGAGAAACACUCUCGCCGAAAGUCCAAGGGUUCCUGCGUAAAGCUAAUCUGCGCAGGGUUAGUCGGCCCCUAAGGCGAGGGCGAAAGCCGUAGUCGAUGGGAAACAGGUUAAUAUUCCUGUACCUGGAGGUAGUGACGAAUCCCGUGUGUUGUCCACCCUUAUUGGAUUGGGUGGGCCGCGAAGGGGUUCCAGGAAAUAGCUCCUCCAUUAUAGACCGUACCCCAAACCGACACAGGUGGUCUGGUAGAGUAUACCAAGGCGCUUGAGAGAACUAUGUUGAAGGAACUCGGCAAAAUGCUCCCGUAAGUUCGCGAGAAGGGAGACCUCCACUUAGGCAACUAGGUGGGGGUGGCACAGACCAGGGGGUGGCGACUGUUUACUAAAAACAUAGGGCUCUGCGAAGUCGCAAGACGACGUAUAGGG